rnacentral:rRNA from 1 species
UACAGAGACUGCAAGCGUUAUUCGGAUUCACUGGGCGUAAAGGGUGCGCAGGCGGCCGUGUGUGUGAGGCGUGAAAGCCCGGGGCUUAACCCCGGAAUUGCACCUCAAACUACAUGGCUAGAGCAUUGGAGAGGGUAGUGGAAUUCCCGGUGUAGCAGUGAAAUGCGUAGAGAUCGGGAGGAACACCAGUGGCGAAGGCGGCUACCUGGACCAGCACUGACACUGAAGCACGAAAGCGUGGGGAGCAAAAAGG